rnacentral:rRNA from 1 species
GACGAACCGUGCGAACGUUGUUCGGAUUCACUGGGCUUAAAGGGCGCGUAGGCGGGCGGUCAAGUCAGGGGUGAAAUCUUUCGGCCUAACCGGAAAAGGGCCUCUGAUACUGGCCGUCUCGAGGGAGGUAGGGGCAUGCGGAACUUCCGGUGGAGCGGUGAAAUGCGUAGAUAUCGGAAGGAACGCCGGUGGUGAAAGCGGCGUGCUGGACCUCUUCUGACGCUGAGGCGCGAAAGCCAGGGGAGCGAACGGG